rnacentral:rRNA from 1 species
CGCCUGUUUAUCAAAAACAUCUCUUCUCGUUAGUUUUUGAAGUAUGGCCUGCCCACUGACCUUGAAUGUUGAAGGGCCGCGGUAUUUUGACCGUGCAAAGGUAGCAUAGUCAUUAGUUCUUUAAUUGUGAUCUGGUAUGAAUGGCUUGACGAGGCAUGAGCUGUCUUAAUUUUGAAUUGUUUAUUGAAUUUGGUCUUUGAGUUAAAAUUCUUAGAUGUUUUUAUGGGACGAGAAGACCCUAUAGAGUUUUACAUUUAUUAUGGUCUCUUUCUGUUUGUGAGGGUUCAUUAGGGCUGUUUAAUAUGUUUUGUUGGGGUGAUGGGAGGGAUAUUGUUUAACCCCUCCUUUAUGUUGUUAUAUUUAUUUAUAUUUGCUUGAUCCAUUUAUUUUGAUUGUAAGAUUAAAUUACCUUAGGGAUAACAGCGUAA